rnacentral:rRNA from 1 species
UAGGGAAUAUUGGACAAUGGGCGAAAGCCUGAUCCAGCCAUGCCGCGUGAGUGAUGAAGGCCCUAGGGUUGUAAAGCUCUUUCAGUGGGGAAGAUAAUGACGGUACCCACACAAGAAGCCCCGGCUAACUUCGUGCCAGCAGCCGCGGUAAUACGAAGGGGGCUAGCGUUGUUCGGAAUUACUGGGCGUAAAGCGCGCGUAGGCGGACUGAUCAGUCAGGGGUGAAAUCCCGGGGCUCAACCCCGGAACUGCCUUUGAUACUAUCAGUCUAGAGUUCUGGAGAGGUGAGUGGAAUUCCGAGUGUAGAGGUGAAAUUCGUAGAUAUUCGGAGGAACACCAGUGGCGAAGGCGGCUCACUGGCCAGCAACUGACGCUGAGGUGCGAAAGCGUGGGGAGCAAACAGGAUUAGAUACCCGCGUAGUCC